CCGAAUGGGGAAACCCGAUUACUUAUAAGUGAAUUCAUAGCUUAUAAGGGCGAACCUAGGGAACUGAAACAUCUAAGUACCUAGAGGAAAAGAUAUUCCGUUAGUAGUGGCGAGCGAACGCGGACCAGGCCAGUGCUACUUUUUACUAAACCAGAACUGUAUGGAAAGGCAGGCCAUAGUGAGUGAUAGCCUCGUAUGGGUAGAUAGUAAAAACUAGACAUGAGUAGGGCGGGACACGUGAAAUCCUGUCUGAAUAUAGGAAGACCACUUCCUAAGCCUAAAUACUACUUUAUGACCGAUAGUGAACCAGUACCGUGAGGGAAAGGCGAAAAGAACCCCCUAGCAGGGGAGUGAAAUAGAACCUGAAACCGGAUGCUUACAAGCAGUUGGAGCCUCUUUGUGAGGUGACAGCGUACCUUUUGUAUAAUGGGUCAGCGACUUAAUCUCAUUAGCAAGCUUAAGCCAUUUAGGUGUAGGCGAAGCGAAAGCGAGUCUGAAUAGGGCGAUUUAGUUAAUGGGAUUAGACUCGAAACCGGGUGAUCUAGUCAUGAGCAGGUUGAAAGUGAAGUAAAAUUCACCGGAGGACCGAACCCACUAGCGUUGAAAAGCUACGGGAUGACUUGUGAUUAGGGGUGAAAGGCCAACCAAACUCGGAAAUAGCUAGUUCUCCGCGAAAACUAUUUAGGUAGUGCGUCGUGUGAAUCUUGUUGGGGGUAGAGCACUGAAUGGGCUAGGGGGAAGCAAUUCCUACCAAACCUAAUCAAACUCCGAAUACCGAUAAGUCUGCACGGCAGACAGUCCAUGGGUGCUAAGGUCCUUGGACGAGAGGGAAACAGCCCAGAUCAACAGCUAAGGUCCCCAAAUAAUGAUUAAGUGUGAAAGGGAGUGGGAACUCCAAGACAGCCAGGAGGUUGGCUUAGAAGCAGCCAUCCUUUAAAGAAAGCGUAACAGCUCACUGGUCUAAUUAAGAGAUCCUGCACCGAAAAUGUAACGGGGCUCAAAUCAUUUACCGAAGCUUUGACAAUUACUUUGUAAUUGGGUAGCGGAGCGUUCUGUAAGCCUGUGAAGGUGAUGCGUAAGCAUUGCUGGAGGUAUCAGAAGUGCGAAUGCUGACAUGAGUAACGAUAAGAAAUGUGAAAGACAUUUCCGCCGAAAUCCUAAGGUUUCCUGCGUAAAGCUAAUCUGCGCAGGGUUAGUCGGCCCCUAAGGCGAGGGCGAAAGCCGUAGUCGAUGGGAAGCAGGUUAAUAUUCCUGCACCAGCUGGUAGUGACGGAUGAAGUAAAUUGUAAGUUCUUACUGGAUUGAACUUGCAGUGAAUUUGUCCCUGGAAAUAGCUCCAGCAUUAGACCGUACCAAAACCGACACAGGUAGGAAGGUAGAGUAUACCAAGGCGCUUGAGAGAACUAUGUUGAAGGAACUCGGCAAAUUACACUUGUAACUUCGGGAUAAAAGUGACCUGCUAUUGGGCAACCAGUAGGAGGUGGCACAGAAGAGGGGGUAGCGACUGUUUACUAAAAACAUAGCACUAUGCAAAGUCGAGAGACGACGUAUAUGGUGUGACGCCUGCCCGGUGCCGGAAGGUUAAUAGGAGGGGUGCAAGCUCCGAAUUGAAGCCCCGGUGAACGGCGGCCGUAACUAUAACGGUCCUAAGGUAGCGAAAUUCCUUGUCGGGUAAGUUCCGACCUGCACGAAUGGCGUAACGAUUUCCCCACUGUCUCCAACAUAGACUCAGUGAAAUUGAAUUCUCGGUUAAGAUGCCGAGUAACCGUGGUUAGACGGAAAGACCCCGUGCACCUUUACUGCAGCUUUGUAUUGGUAUUAGGGGACAGAUGUGUAGCAUAGGUGGGAGACUUUGAAGGAUUGGCGCUAGCCAGUCUGGAGUCACCAGUGAAAUACCACUCUUCUGUUCCUUGAUGCCUAACCAUACACCGUUAUCCGGUGUUGGGACCAUGCAUGGUGGGCAGUUUGACUGGGGCGGUCGCCUCCCAAAGAGUAACGGAGGCGCGCGAUGGUAGGCUCAGAACGCUUGGAAACCGUUCGUCGAGUGCAAUGGCAUAAGCCUGCCUGACUGCGAGACCCACAAGUCGAGCAGAGACGAAAGUCGGUCAUAGUGAUCCGGUGGCACUUCGUGGAAGGGCCAUCGCUCAACGGAUAAAAGGUACGCCGGGGAUAA
rnacentral:rRNA from 1 species